rnacentral:rRNA from 1 species
AGCGAACGCUGGCGGCAGGCCUAACACAUGCAAGUCGAGCGGCCGUAGCAAUACGGCAGCGGCAGACGGGAGAGUAACACGUGGGAACGUACCCUUCGGUUCGGAAUAACUCAGGGAAACUUGAGCUAAUACCGGAUACGUCCGUAAGGAGAAAGAUUUAUCGCCGAGGGAUCGGCCCGCGUCCGAUUAGCUAGUUGGUGGGGUAAUGGCCCACCAAGGCGACGAUCGGUAGCUGGUCUGAGAGGAUGAUCAGCCUCACUGGGACUGAGACACGGCCCAGACUCCUACGGGAGGCAGCAGUGGGGAAUAUUGGACAAUGGGCGCAAGCCUGAUCCAGCCAUGCCGCGUGGGUGAUGAAGGCCCUAGGGUUGUAAAGCCCUUUCGGCGGGGAAGAUAAUGACGGUACCCGCAGAAGAAGCCCCGGCUAACUUCGUGCCAGCCGCCGCAGUAAAAC